GUGAACAUGCCUGUAAAUGUUUAUUACACAGCAUUUACCCAAUAAUGCCUUUAUUUCAUUGUGUGUGUGUGUGUGUGUGUGUGUGUGUGUGUGUGUGUGUGUGUGUGUGUGUGUGUGUGUGUGUGUGUGUGUGUGUGUGUGUGUGUGUGUGUGUGUGUGUGUGUGUGUGUGUGUGUGUGUGUGUGUGUGGGUGUGGGUGUGUGAUCCAUGUUUAAUCUUUUCUGUAAGUCUGUUGACACAGAGACCUCUCAAGUUAGCAGACAGUUUAUAAUCGUGUGGAUCAUAAUUGACUGGUAAAUCGAGAAUUGGUCUGAGUCAUAUCAUAAGUGUGCUCAUCAGGCACACUCAUACUACCGUCACUGCAUCGAUAAGAUCUCCCCUUAGUGGAGGUCUUAAUUAAUUUCCUUCCCAUCAUCCCCAAACUUUAUUCCCAUCUUUCCUAACUCCCUAUUUUCUCUUAUCUUUUCUUCUUGUUUGUCUUUCAGGAUUUUUUUUUUUGUUUGUUUAUGAAAUGUUAUAAAAUGUUCCAGUGCUUUCUUAUUUUAAGCGGAAUUCAUCUCUACAUCCACCCAGGUGUGUGUACAAGUGUGCGUUUUCAGGGGAAUGGAGGGAGAUUAUUUGUUUUCCAUUUCCUGUGUCAGUAAUGAGUGUUCUAUAAAUGUUUAGGGAAGAGCAGUCGUGUGUAGGCGUGUUUGUCAGUGUCUAUGAUAGAGAUAUGCACAGGUUGGCAGGACGGUCCAGUUUAUGAUGUAGACAGUAUUUACACAAAAAACACACACACAAACACUCACGCAUGCACAUCUAAAUACACAGUCAGCCCCUUGCUUAGGCUUAGCACCCCCUUCCUUUAAAACAGAUGUGCGCAUUACGUCUUUUUCAUUUACCCAUAAAUACGGUUACCUCUUUGACCUCUGUGAUAAUGUGGGGUUCAGAAAAAGAAGCCCAGCCUCUCCCCAUAUGUGACACACUUCCUGGCAAACACAUACAUAGCCCUCCUCCUUAUAGAGACAAAGAGCCCACCAGCUGUACCUCAGAGUAAUGACUCACAACAGCGCACUAGUGACGCAGCUCCCUGGUUAUUCAUGACGAAUUCCAUGUUUUAUUUAAACUUCACUACAGAAAACCUACCCAUAAGAGAGCUCCGCAUCCACUAAAACAGCCUAUGAUGACACCCUGUCAGACUUCUCCAAGACGGAGGGAUGGAGUUUUGGAGGGAAAGAGACAGUCCAUGCAGGCUGGGAUCAAGGGUACCUGGGCUCGGCAUGGUGCAACAUUGCCCCCUAAUGUUUAAAAGUCUCCACAAGCCAUGGAACUGAAUUAAAGAACAUCAUCUCUUCAGAGGCUAAAACUUUAUCUCACUCUUAUGAAAACAUGCUCAUAUGAACUUAAAAAUGUGUUUUCCUUCAGAUAAAUCAUGAAAAGGAUCACACUAAGUUGCCACUAAACUGUAACAAAUUUGUAGUCAGCCUAUUCCCAGCCAGUCAAGCCAGACUCUUAUUUUGAAAUAACCUUCUUUGUGCUUGUUAAACUUAUUCAACCCCCCUACCUCUUUUCCCUUCUCUCCAUGUGUGAGACUGAAACAGGAAUCAGAUGGGCUGCUUUAAUCUUUCACACUACAUGUUUCUUUAUUAAAAAAAAGAUGCAAGAGAAGAAAUGUGAUCUCUUGUAUCAUGUCUGUAUCACAUUUCUGUUUGGCUGCAGUGGAAAAUGAAACUGAGCAACUGCAAAAUGUCGAAGCCAGUUGUUUUGCUUCGAAUCCCAUCGGAUAAAUUGCGGUUGUUUCAUUCUGCCUCGUCUAGAAACCGUCUGUUUACCUCAGGAUGUUUUCUCCCUGCUGGAGCCUCCUUCGUCAAUUAGUAGUGGAUGUAAUGUACUGUCCUUGGCAGCACUAGGGUUUUGUGUGUGUGUGUGUGUGUGUGUGUGUGUGUGUGUGUGUGUGUGUGUGUGUGUGUGUGUGUGUGUGUGUGUGUGUGUGUGUGUGUGUGUGUGUGUGUGUGUGUGUGUGUGUGUGUGUGUGAGAGAGAGAGAGAGAGUGAG